UGGGGGAUAUUGCACAAUGGGGGAAACCCUGAUGCAGCAACGCCGCGUGAAGGAAGAAGGUCUUCGGAUUGUAAACUUCUGUUUUAGUGAAGAAAAGAUGACGGUAGCUAAAGAGGAAGCCACGGCUAACUACGUGCCAGCAGCCGCGGUAAUACGUAGGUGGCAAGCGUUAUCCGGAAUUACUGGGUGUAAAGGGAGCGCAGGCGGGAUAGCAAGUCAGCUGUGAAAACUAUGGGCUCAACCCAUAAACUGCAGUUGAAACUGUUAUUCUUGAGUGGAGUAGAGGCAAGCGGAAUUCCGAGUGUAGCGGUGAAAUGCGUAGAUAUUCGGAGGAACACCAGUGGCGAAGGCGGCUUGCUGGGCUCUAACUGACGCUGAGGCUCGAAAGUGUGGGGAGCAAACAGGAUUAGAUACCCUGGUAGU
rnacentral:rRNA from 1 species